GAUGAACGCUGGCGGCGUGCCUAAUACAUGCAAGUCGAGCGAACGGACGAGAAGCUUGCUUCUCUGAUGUUAGCGGCGGACGGGUGAGUAACACGUGGAUAACCUACCUAUAAGACUGGGAUAACUUCGGGAAACCGUAGCUAAUACCGGAUAAUAUUUUGAACCGCAUGGUUCAAAAGUGAAAGACGGUCUUGCUGUCACUUAUAGAUGGAUCCGCGCUGCAUUAGCUAGUUGGUAAGGUAACGGCUUACCAAGGCAACGAUGCAUAGCCGACCUGAGAGGGGGAAGGGACACACAGGAACUGAGACACGGUCCAGACACCCACGGGAGGCCGAAGCAGGGAGUCUUACGCAAUGGGCCAAAGCCUAACGGAGCAACACCACGUGAGUGAUGAAGGGCAUCGGAUCGUAAAACUCUGUUAUUAAGGAAGAACAUAUGUGUAAGUAACUGUGCACAUCUUGACGGUACCUAAACAGAAAGCCACCGCUAACUACGUG
rnacentral:rRNA from 1 species